GACGUAGGGGGCAAGCGUUAUCCGGAAUUAUUGGGCGUAAAGCGCGCGCAGGCGGUUUCUUAAGUCUGAUGUGAAAGCCCACGGCUCAACCGUGGAGGGUCAUUGGAAACUGGGGAACUUGAGUGCAGAAGAGAAAAGCGGAAUUCCACGUGUAGCGGUGAAAUGCGUAGAGAUGUGGAGGAACACCAGUGGCGAAGGCGGCUUUUUGGUCUGUAACUGACGCUGAGGCGCGAAAGCGUGGGGAGCAAACAGG
rnacentral:rRNA from 1 species